AUUUGAGGCUGAAAGGUUGGUGAUCUGGUGUUGUUGGUCACUUGGAAUCAAAUGAAAAUUCUAGCCGCUGGCAUAGUAGUGGAGACAUUCCUACUGAUAGGUAAAGUCCUACAUGCUCAUCUACUCAAGCUCCUCUUCUGACAAAGACUUCAUUUCCUUUCAGAGAGGAUUCUCUCCCUUGGUUAUGAAGUAAUUUCAAAUGUGCUGGAGACUGGUCCGACAGGGUUAGUUUCUCCACAUUUUACAGCUCUAUUGGAAUCUGCAAUCUUCCCAGCAUUGGUCAUAAAUGUAAAGGACAUGUCAGAGUGGGAAGAAGAUGCUGAUACAGUAUAUACGGAAGAAUCUUCCUUCAGGACGAAGUUAGUGGAUGAAGGGGGGAUUUAUUCACUGCCAGAAAAAGUGCAGUAAACUUACUUGGUGUUACUUCAAUGUCAAAGGGGCCACACCAAUGGAGACUUCCAUUGUCAGUUUAUCAGCCAAGCGGAAAAAAAUGUCAAAAGAACAAAAGAAGCAAUCAGUGCCAUUCUAAGGGAGAGUUAUAGAUUUGUGUUAUUUGUAAGCAAAUCGAUGGUUCAUGCACACAAUGUGUCAAGUGUUCCACAUGUCUCCAUGCCAUGUGUGCGUGAAGGACUGAUUAUCGCAUAGAGAGUGCCACUUUUAAUUAAUGUUGUCUCUUCUGGAACUUGGGCAAUGAUUCCCACUCCUGGAACGCCUCAACAAGUACAAUCAGGCAUGCAGCCGCUUGUGAAUAAUGCAGCUGCUGCUAAUGUGCCUUUGUCCCACUCCUGGAACGCCUCAACAAGUACAAUCAGGCAUGCAGCCGCUUGUGAAUAAUGCAGCGCCUGUGCAACCUUGGUACCCAUUGUUAAAAGGAAAGUUGCCUUUAUUCAUUCACGCCUCUUACUUGUUUUAUUGGUUUUCCAUGUUUCGAUGUGUAACUAUGAUUAUAAUGAAUGUGAGGUCUUUUGUUUUUAUGUUCUGCUACUUUAUGUUGUUAAUGAAUUCCUUCUAAUUGCAGACAAAUACAAGUGUUGCAUCUUCUUUAGGGACAUUUUUCCUGCCCCAGAUCUCAAUGAUCUUCUUGGACAUGUUGAAUGUAUACAGAGUGUACAGGGAGCAUAUUUGAAACACAAAUAUGUACAGUAAGAUUAUAGUGGUUUUUAACAAAUAUUUACUAUUCAGUCCCUUCAUACAAAUUCUUCUGGAAUUAUGCAGGGGAGAUGUCAAAUAGCUGUCUAUUAAGAAUGUUAUGGUGCAAGAAAUGUUCCAAGACUUUACAAUCAUGCGUUUAUAAAGCUUGUGAAACACCAGUCAUCACGCGAGAGUGUUGUCAUUGCUCUGUAAAAGAGUCAUUCGAGUCAGCCAGAGAAGCUUCAGCGAGUGUAACAUCGAAAGGUGCUACAAAGGUUGGGAAAUCAAGUGCAAAUGGUGUUUCAAAACCUGGAAAUCGAUCUGUAUCUGCGGUAUGUGGAGUAUGUUGUUGACCUGGUUGGGGAACCAGGAAAUAUUUUUGGGCCAGAUUCAUCAAUUUAUGGAGCAUACGUGUCUUCCAUACCUUCCCCAUUUCAAAUUUCUCAUAUGAGAGAUUCUCAAUCGCCCUAUGCGGAUGAUGCAGCAUCUCCUCAAGUGAUAUGUUUUAAUCAGAAUUCUCCCAACAAUGACCUGUAUACAGGAAGAUCAACAACAUAAAGAAACUGAUUUGUACAAAAAUAAUAAUAAUGGCUUCAAUUAUGCUUCAGUUGAUCAAACUUGUGGAGCAUUAUUACAUGAAAUUCCAUUUGUUCGGAAAGGUCAAAGAAAUUUCUUACAAUGAGGUCGUUGCAAAUGGAAGUUCGGUGGUAAAUGGGUAUCCAGUCAAAGCUGGAACAGGUAGACAAUAGGCUUGAAAACCAGGGUGCUGCGGAUAUUCCAAAAUAUAUGAAUCUUGAACCAUCACUAGCAAUGGACUGGCUUGAAAUAUCAUGGGAUGAGUAACGGAUCAAAGAGCGCGUUGGUGCUGGAUCAUUUGGGACUGUGUAUCGUGCUGAAUGGCAUGGAUCAGAAGCGUUAUAUCAAGCACUUUUUUCUUCAUGCUGAAAUUUGCUGUAUUCUUUGCAUAUUCAAGGAUGUUGCUGUCAAAGUUUUAUCAGUUCAGAAUUUCCACGAUGACCGAUUGAAAGAGUUUCUGUGAGGCAGUUACAAUUCUUGUUGUUAAUUUCAUUGCUUCAGGUUGCAAUAAUGAAACGUGUUCGCCAUCCAAAUGUGGUGCUCUUCAUGGGUGCGGUUACAAAACGGCCCCAUCUAUCUAUAGUGACAGAGUAUUAGCCUAGAGGUAGUUUAUUCCGCCUGAUACAUUGGCCAUCAACUAGUGAAAUUAAGGAUCCAAGAAGAAGAUUAGCAAUGGCUAUAGACGUGGCUAAAGGGAUCAAUUAUUUUCACUGUCUGAAGCCUCCAGUCGUGCACUGGGAUCUCAAAUCCCCGAACCUGAUGGUAGACAAAAAUUGGAAUGUAAAGGUGUGUGAUUUCGGGUUGUCCAGAUUUAAAGCGAACACUUUCUUGUGAUCAAAAUCUGUUCCUGGAAUGCUGCGUGACAAAAUGAAACCUUGCAAUGUGUACGCUCAGGUGGUUGGAUCAUUUGGGACAGUGUAUCGUGCUGAAUGACAUGGAUCAGCUGCAGAUUAUCUCGAGCAGGCUGGCUGAGUACAAUACGGGUAAUCCUAAUGAGGACCUUAAAACAGAAUCCUUGAUAAAACAACUGCUUUACAACCCCAAGCUUCAAGCUGCAUGUCCUGUUCCAUUUGAUGAAACUAAGUUGUGGAAAGGCCAUAUUGUCCCUGAGCACAAACAAAAAAUUCAACAUUAAUUCAGAAACAUCAGUGCAUUGAUGGAUUGUGUAGGUUGUGAGAAGUGUCGCUUAUGGGGAAAGCUUCAGGUUAUUGGUCUCGGAACUGCAUUGAAGAUUCUCUUCCUGAUGAUGGUCAAGAAAAUCUGGUUCAAACACUGCUGCUUCCAAAUUCUGCUGCUUCAUUUCUGUGGGAAGAUCUUGACCCCUUGAAAUCACUGAAGUAUGAUAUCGAUGAAAUUUUGUACCUGUUUAUUCAGAAUCUUGUUCUGGCAUAUUCAUCUGGUUUGUGGUAGCUUGAGACACUUUUAAAGUUUUUCCCGGUUCUGGCAUAUCGGAACCUAACAUGGCAAUGUUUAACAGAGGUGGCAUCCCUUCAAUUUGGGAGUUUUUAUGAUGUGCAGUAUGUCAAGACGUAUGACAUAUUCAUGGGUCAAUUGCAGUUUGGUCUCAUUUUUGUAACAUCAUACUCCCGCCCAGGGACGGAACCAGUAAAAAUGGUUGAGGGUGGCAGAAAUAUAACACACGACAAACAACAUUGAUUAAUAGGUGUAACAAAUUAAACGGUGGCGAAGACAAAUUUAUGGAUGAGAUUUACAGGGGCGAGCAUGUAUACAUAUGAUGGGGUAUUAUAGCAUUAUAUAAUUGAAGGGUGGCGACAACCCCUUUUGUUCUACACUUGGGUUCCAUCCCUUCUCCCGCUACCUACCACAAAUAUACCUGAGGCACAUAUGCAAAUGGCUCUACUGAAGAACAAUCAUUUAUACAGAACAUGGCAUUGUUCUUCACCUCAUUUUAUAAGGUUCACAGCCGCAUCUUUGGAAUUCACUCGAGAAUAUAUCAAAUUUGCUAUUGGGCCUUGAAUAUCUUAUCACCCUUUCAUAUUGUAGGCCUGAAGCAUCUGAUUCCGAACUAUUUUAAGGUGAUUGCUGGAUUAUGGGUUUUGUUCAUUGUUGGGAGUUGGACCAACUUCUUGACAUUGUUCUACAUAGUUAUAUAGGUCCGGUGGAAUUUGAUUGGGUUGGAUAGUACAUUAGGCCAAACCCGACACACGUACACCUCCAAGUGUAAAGCUACUUGUUGCUGCUGGAGACAGCUCUGAAUGUGUGUGGUGUGCUCUAGCCAGUGGCAAGCAGAGGUUAAUAUACUAUUCGUUCAACUUUAGGAUAAAAACACCUGUAUAUUUUUUACAUACCUAUAUUUGUAUUGGGAGUGGGGAUAUAUUUCCCUUUCGAUGCUAUGUCCUGGCACCUUCUAGUUCUUUUGUUUUUGUUUCAAGAGCAUGAAUGUUCAAGCAUAAAAGGUUCGAAGUAUAUCUUUUUGCAUCUGGCCGGGAAUGAGGAAUUUUGGAAAGGAACAUGAAUUUUCAAGCAUAAAAGGUUUGAAGUAUAUCUUUUUGCAUCUGGCUGGGGAUGAGGAAUUUUGGAAAGGUUGGUUUGUGGGGGUCCUUUUUUCUUGAAUUUUCACUUCCUUUGUUAUAAAUAUUUUUUUUUUACAAUUUACUUUUCGGUUGUGAUAUGUUUUGAGAAUAAUAUGCCUCAAUAUCUUUAGAUUUAAAUAUAGUUUACAUUGUAAUAACAUGCUUUUCUGAGAUCUGUUAUCACACUUCUAUUGACUAUUAUUUUGGAAGGCAUGUUUGCUUCGUGAAAGGCAGGCUUAUUAAUAGUCAAUAGAAGUGUUUGAUCUUCUGGUUCGUGAAAGGCAUGUUUAUUAAUAUCGAAAACAAUCUGGGGUCCUUUGUUAUGUCACAUGAUGUAAACUAUUAAUUAGAUCUCUAUUAAAUUCUUUUUGUUUUCGAUAUUCUUUCUUCUGGUUCUUAUUUACCUCUUGUUUGAUCUUCAUGAUCUAUAUUCUUAAUUGUUUUUGGUUGAUUAUUUUGGUUUCUUGCUUAGAUGUUUUAAUUGGUUUGUUUGUUGAAUUGUUUCUAUCUCGGAGUUUGCGCCUUGCACUACGUACAAGUACGGUUUAAUUUCGUCAUCUUCUUUAAGACUGUCGACAUUUCAGUCUUAGUUCGAUGAGAAUAAUGUGCUGCUUGCUGUCACCGAUGAAGGGUAAAAGGAAAAACUGGAAGAUAGAGCAUGGUCGAGAUUUCCCAAAAAUGAUAAGAGAUAGAAUUUGUUAUCGAAUAAUCAGUGACUAAACCCCUUCCCGGGAGUCAAGGAGAGCAUGGUGUUAUUGGAUCGGCGAGAAGAAUUCCUUUAAAUGAUAUUGCUAACGUUGGUUCUUCAUCUUUGAAAAUAGGAAAAUCAUCACCGACAACAAGUUCGUUGAAGACAGGGAAAUAUACAGUACAUAAUGGUACAUUUAUUAAUCGUGCAAGAUGUUCACUAAGAGCUUCGUUUAGGCGGAAUGUGGAAUCUAUCAAACCACGUCAUAUUGCA